rnacentral:rRNA from 1 species
CGGACGGGUGAGUAACACAUAGGAAUCUGCCCAGUAGCGGGGGACAACUUGGGGAAACUCAAGCUAAUACCGCAUACGCCCUACGGGGGAAAGCGGGGGACCUCCGGGCCUCGCACUAUUGGAUGAGCCUAUGUCAGAUUAGCUUGUUGGUGGGGUAAUGGCCUACCAAGGCGACGAUCUGUAGCUGGUCUGAGAGGACGAUCAGCCACACUGGGACUGAGACACGGCCCAG